rnacentral:rRNA from 1 species
AACGAACGCUGGCGGCAUGCCUAACACAUGCAAGUCGAACGAACCUUCAACUUCGGUUGAAUGGUUAGUGGCGCACGGGUGCGUAACGCGUGGGAAUCUGCCCUUAGGUACGGAAUAACUCAGGGAAACUUGUGCUAAUACCGUAUGAAUGUCGAGAGACCAAAGAUUCAUCGCCUAAGGAUGAGCCCGCGUUGGAUUAGCUAGUUGGUGGGGUAAAAGCCUACCAAGGCUACGAUCCAUAGCUGGUCUGAGAGGAUGAUCAGCCACACUGGGACUGAGACACGGCCCAGACUCCUACGGGAGGCAGCAGUGGGGAAUAUUGCGCAAUGGGCGAAAGCCUGACGCAGCGACGCCGCGUGAGGGAUGAAGGUCUUCGGAUUGUAAACCUCUUUCAGCAGGGACGAAGCGAAAGUGACGGUACCUGCAGAAGAAGCACCGGCUAACUACGUGCCAGCAGCCGCGGUAAUACGUAGGGUGCAAGCGUUGUCCGGAUUUACUGGGCGUAAAGAGCUCGUAGGCGGUUAGUCACGUCGGAUGUGAAAACUCAGUGCUUAACACUGAGCCUGCAUUCGAUACGGGCUGACUAGAGUAUUGUAGGGGAGACUGGACUCUGGUGUAGCGGUGAAAUGCGCAGAUAUCAGAAGAACACCGUGGCGAAGC